GCAACCAAUCCUGUUGUCCACCAUCGUGCUGCCCAGACACCAACCUCUAACCGGAGAGCAAAACAGGAAAAAGUCGUAACUUUUUAUUUGAAAAGGCCUCUGGGCAGUGAACGGCCUGCGUCAUGGCAGCCAUCGAUCUGCAGCUUGGGCUGGAACGCAGCGGCCGGGGAUGGGGACCAGAACUGAUGGACAACUUUGACUCUGAGAUGCAGGAGUGGGAGGAUCAGCUGCAGGAUAUCCAGAGGAAAAUAGAAGAGCUGUACAGCGAAGUUCAGGCUCGCAGAGGGGUGAACGAUGUCACUGGUGACAACCAGAAAAAUGGCAGCCCAUUGGAGUGUGGGCUACGGCAUCACAGUGACGGCCUUUUUGGGCCUAGCCGCCACGGUGGGAAUCGCCCUGGAGAUAUCAUCGUACAUCACUGUGGCCCCAACGGGUGCAGCUACCCUGUGAGUCGCCAGGGUGCCUACAGCUACUGCUGCUCCAGCGGGGUUUCGGAGAUCGGAGACUUGCUGCAGGACUAUUUUGAGAACGGGAAGAAAACGAGCAGGAAGAACAACGGAACUCGUCACGUGCACUUCAGUGACACAGUUAAGGUGAACCAGGACAUGUCUGCCUGCCAGGAUGAGAGCAGAAGAUCUGGUAAUAAUAGGCUUGGCCAAGAGCAUUACUCUGGCACUUUUGAAGAAACUGAAAACAGGAAGAACCGAGUGUCUCACAUGAAGAGUGCCCCCUGCAGAGAGAGCUCAUCUAACCAGUCCAAGCCCCCUGUUGGACAAAGGGAUGCUAGUGCUGAACAGGCACGCUUGCAGUUCCCCACCACAGCCACUGAGUCUCCUGUGGACAGAAAGUCCUUCAGUCAAGGAGUCCUUGGAGACCGGAAGUGCACCAGCCCCUCUGUCCUCAAGAAGUUUGGAGCCAUGCUUCAGGAGAAUGAGGGUAAAACGCUUACAGAAUCAGGGGUGGUGACCCAUCAGGGACUGGAGGCAAAGUGUUCCACUCCUGGCUGUCAGCGCCGGGCCCUGGGAGCCACUGGAGGAGCCAGCAAGGCGCCUGUGCGCAUGGCCAUCCAGAAAUGCCAAGGAGAUUGUGGUGUGCUGACAGCAGAGAAAGAUCCCAGCCAAGAAUGGGCUUUGGGAUUGGACUGUAGACACAAGGAUCAGAGGGGAGGCUACAGCGGCUCUAAAGGGUUCCAGGCUCCUCAGCAGGUCCAGAGGAGGCUUCAGGUGUCAGGGAGCCCAAAUAUCCGACCCAGGGCUAACAGUGGGGUGGACAGAGACGGAGGAUCGGGUCAAGCAGAGAAAACUAGGAAGCCUACAGUCCAACAGGUGGAGCCCAAAGGGGACUACAGGCCCCCAAACUUUACCUCUGGGUCUCCGAGGAUUCAGAGGGGACAGGAGCUGCCGGGUUGUGUGCACGUGAGGGACGAAGGACUUAUUGAAUUGCUGGACAUGCUGGAGAUUCAACACGAGUACAGCUCGAGUCCUAGCAGGGAACACGCAGCUUACAAACAAGAGCUACAGCAUGUAAACCCUGCAGAGUUGUCUCCAACCAGACCGAGGAAGAGUUUUUCUCGACCUGCACGCCCUGCCAACCAACGGCCGCCUUCCAGAUGGGCCGGCUGCACCCCUACGGCUAGAAUCACCUCCCCGUCAGGCCCCAUCUACCGCCCUCUGACACGCAGCUACAGCCCCGCUCUCAAGCACCAACCUCUUGUUUCCUAUCCUUUCCAGACAGAGACUGUCAUCAUGUGAACACUUCCCAUUUCCCAUUCUCUCAAACUGUAAAUAGCAUUUCUGUUGAACGUGCUCUGACAGUGCUGCAACGAAAGUGCUCACGGCGAUGUAUUCAUACACAACAUUCUCCAGUGCUGCUGUAGCUCUUAAGCUUCUCUGUGCCAACACACAUUAUUUCUUUGUUGUUUCUCACCCUUAUUCACUUAUUAUGCUUUUUUGUAUUAAAUCAGUAGUUUUUUUUUGUGUAUUGUGAAUUUAGCAUGCAGCCAUGCAUCAAGGGUGCAUGCGUUCAAUCUUCUCAGCCACCAUAUUGCCACAAAACUCAAACUGGAACUACUUGCUGAGGCAACCUGCAAAAUCAAAGUGUGUGUUUUGUUGUCCAAAUGUAUUCAAGCCGUUCAAUUAAUGACUGUGACUAAAGACUUUAAUAUGCCUUUAAUGUAUUUUUCUUGGUAAUAAAUAUGACUGUGCUCAACCGUGAAGACUGACUCAGCAUUGCAUUAUCUUGUUACAUUUAUGAAGGCUCACGACUUACAAUACUGAUUGAUUGCAUGUGCAGCCUAUCAAUAUCUGACACCAGUAGAUCCCUGUAUGCCACAGCUGUGGGGGCUUGAGUGUUUCAUAGCUGAUUGCAAUUGAAGAAUUGUUUGGGCACAAACCUUAAUAGGGCAAGCUAGUUGAGAAAUGCUGAUAUAAAGUUCUACAUUACUUCUCUUAAAUGGGUCCAAGAAGAACUUCUUAGGUGUGUUCUUGCUGUGUCUUUGUAAAUCCAUGCUUUCGUUCUUUUUUUAAACACAGAAAUAGUUUUGUUUACCUGUUUGUAGCUACGGUUUCGCCGACAGCUGCCGGCUUCUUCAGGCUGACGCUGAUGGUGGCGCGUCACUUCCUUCUCCGUUUAUCUGCGGGCAGCAGAGGACGUUGUCGCCCUCUACUGCCCGCUCUCCCCUCUCCGACGAUGCAGUCCCAUGCGUGGUCCAGCGUGUAAACUCCGUCGUCCCUGUUCAUGGUCCCACAUCCACGUCUCCUUAUCUCUAUUGCUUCCUUGAUCCAUCUUUUGUAUUUUUGUUGUUCAGUGGUUAUGAUCCGUGUGCUGUCCCAGUCCAUUAUAUGGUUUUCUCUUAAGCAAUGAUCUGUUACGGCUGACUUUUUUAUUGUACUUUCUGCUUCUUCUUUUGCUGCUCUUGUGUGUUUACGAUUUGCCUCUUUCUCGCACUCCUUUCUGUGUUCUAUUGUCCGUGUAUUGAGUUGGCGUCCGGUUUCUCCUAUGUAUGUUUUAUUGCAUAUUUUGCAUGGGAUUUCGUAGAUGACUCCACAUUUUUGUCCAGCUGAUAUUUUGUCUUUUGGGUGUACUAAUCUGUUUCUAACUGUUGUGUAUGGCUUUGUUGGUGUGUUUAUGUUGUGUUUUUUCAUUGUUGCUCUUAUUUUUUCCGUUAUGCCUCUGAUGUAUGGUAGGGUUAUCACUGGUUUUGGUUCUUGUCUUUCUGGGUUUCUGGUUCUUUUUUUGGGUUGUUCUUUGCUUUCUGUUUUUGUUUGUUGUUUUCCUUUGUUUAUUGCCCAUGUCGGGUAUCUGCAGGUCUUUAAAGCGUGUUGUAUGUGUUUGUCCUCUUGUUUACGGUCUCUCUCUUCUGUUAUUAUGUUUGCUCGGUGAUAUAAUGUUCUGAUUACUGACAUUUUGUGUAUGGUGGGGUGUUCUGAUGUCCAUAAUA
ensembl:lncRNA